rnacentral:rRNA from 1 species
GGUUAAGCGACUAAGCGUACACGGUGGAUGCCCUGGCAGUCAGAGGCGAUGAAGGACGUGCUAAUCUGCGAUAAGCGUCGGUAAGGUGAUAUGAACCGUUAUAACCGGCGAUUUCCGAAUGGGGAAACCCAGUGUGAUUCGUCACACUAUCAUUAACUGAAUCCAUAGGUUAAUGAGGCGAACCGGGGGAACUGAAACAUCUAAGUACCCCGAGGAAAAGAAAUCAACCGAGAUUCCCCCAGUAGCGGCGAGCGAACGGGGAGGAGCCCAGAGCCUGAAUCAGUGUGUGUGUUAGUGGAAGCGUCUGGAAAGGCGCGCGAUACAGGGUGACAGCCCCGUACACAAAAAUGCACAUGCUGUGAGCUCGAUGAGUAGGGCGGGACACGUGGUAUCCUGUCUGAAUAUGGGGGGACCAUCCUCCAAGGCUAAAUACUCCUGACUGACCGAUAGUGAACCAGUACCGUGAGGGAAAGGCGAAAAGAACCCCGGCGAGGGGAGUGAAAAAGAACCUGAAACCGUGUACGUACAAGCAGUGGGAGCACAGAGCAAUCUGUGUGACUGCGUACCUUUUGUAUAAUGGGUCAGCGACUUAUAUUCUGUAGCAAGGUUAACCGAAUAGGGGAGCCGAAGGGAAACCGAGUCUUAACUGGGCGUUAAGUUGCAGGGUAUAGACCCGAAACCCGGUGAUCUAGCCAUGGGCAGGUUGAAGGUUGGGUAACACUAACUGGAGGACCGAACCGACUAAUGUUGAAAAAUUAGCGGAUGACUUGUGGCUGGGGGUGAAAGGCCAAUCAAACCGGGAGAUAGCUGGUUCUCCCCGAAAGCUAUUUAGGUAGCGCCUCGUGAAUUCAUCUCCGGGGGUAGAGCACUGUUUCGGCAAGGGGGUCAUCCCGACUUACCAACCCGAUGCAAACUGCGAAUACCGGAGAAUGUUAUCACGGGAGACACACGGCGGGUGCUAACGUCCGUCGUGAAGAGGGAAACAACCCAGACCGCCAGCUAAGGUCCCAAAGUCAUGGUUAAGUGGGAAACGAUGUGGGAAGGCCCAGACAGCCAGGAUGUUGGCUUAGAAGCAGCCAUCAUUUAAAGAAAGCGUAAUAGCUCACUGGUCGAGUCGGCCUGCGCGGAAGAUGUAACGGGGCUAAACCAUGCACCGAAGCUGCGGCAGCGACACUGUGUGUUGUUGGGUAGGGGAGCGUUCUGUAAGCCUGUGAAGGUGUGCUGUGAGGCAUGCUGGAGGUAUCAGAAGUGCGAAUGCUGACAUAAGUAACGAUAAAGCGGGUGAAAAGCCCGCUCGCCGGAAGACCAAGGGUUCCUGUCCAACGUUAAUCGGGGCAGGGUGAGUCGACCCCUAAGGCGAGGCCGAAAGGCGUAGUCGAUGGGAAACAGGUUAAUAUUCCUGUACUUGGUGUUACUGCGAAGGGGGGACGGAGAAGGCUAUGUUGGCCGGGCGACGGUUGUCCCGGUUUAAGCGUGUAGGCUGGUUUUCCAGGCAAAUCCGGAAAAUCAAGGCUGAGGCGUGAUGACGAGCACUACGGUGCUGAAGCAACAAAUGCCCUGCUUCCAGGAAAAGCCUCUAAGCAUCAGGUAACAUCAAAUCGUACCCCAAACCGACACAGGUGGUCAGGUAGAGAAUACCAAGGCGCUUGAGAGAACUCGGGUGAAGGAACUAGGCAAAAUGGUGCCGUAACUUCGGGAGAAGGCACGCUGAUAUGUAGGUGAAGUCCCUCGCGGAUGGAGCUGAAAUCAGUCGAAGAUACCAGCUGGCUGCAACUGUUUAUUAAAAACACAGCACUGUGCAAACACGAAAGUGGACGUAUACGGUGUGACGCCUGCCCGGUGCCGGAAGGUUAAUUGAUGGGGUCAGCGCAAGCGAAGCUCUUGAUCGAAGCCCCGGUAAACGGCGGCCGUAACUAUAACGGUCCUAAGGUAGCGAAAUUCCUUGUCGGGUAAGUUCCGACCUGCACGAAUGGCGUAAUGAUGGCCAGGCUGUCUCCACCCGAGACUCAGUGAAAUUGAACUCGCUGUGAAGAUGCAGUGUACCCGCGGCAAGACGGAAAGACCCCGUGAACCUUUACUAUAGCUUGACACUGAACAUUGAGCCUUGAUGUGUAGGAUAGGUGGGAGGCUUUGAAGUGUGGACGCCAGUCUGCAUGGAGCCGACCUUGAAAUACCACCCUUUAAUGUUUGAUGUUCUAACGUGGACCCGUGAUCCGGGUUGCGGACAGUGUCUGGUGGGUAGUUUGACUGGGGCGGUCUCCUCCUAAAGAGUAACGGAGGAGCACGAAGGUUGGCUAAUCCUGGUCGGACAUCAGGAGGUUAGUGCAAUGGCAUAAGCCAGCUUGACUGCGAGCGUGACGGCGCGAGCAGGUGCGAAAGCAGGUCAUAGUGAUCCGGUGGUUCUGAAUGGAAGGGCCAUCGCUCAACGGAUAAAAGGUACUCCGGGGAUAACAGGCUGAUACCGCCCAAGAGUUCAUAUCGACGGCGGUGUUUGGCACCUCGAUGUCGGCUCAUCACAUCCUGGGGCUGAAGUAGGUCCCAAGGGUAUGGCUGUUCGCCAUUUAAAGUGGUACGCGAGCUGGGUUUAGAACGUCGUGAGACAGUUCGGUCCCUAUCUGCCGUGGGCGCUGGAGAACUGAGGGGGGCUGCUCCUAGUACGAGAGGACCGGAGUGGACGCAUCACUGGUGUUCGGGUUGUCAUGCCAAUGGCACUGCCCGGUAGCUAAAUGCGGAAGAGAUAAGUGCUGAAAGCAUCUAAGCACGAAACUUGCCCCGAGAUGAGUUCUCCCUGACCCUUUAAGGGUCCUGAAGGAACGUUGAAGACGACGACGUUGAUAGGCCGGGUGUGUAAGCGCAGCGAUGCGUUGAGCUAACCGGUACUAAUGAACCGUGAGGCUUAACCUU